rnacentral:rRNA from 1 species
UGGGUAACCUGCCCUUAACCCUGGGAUAAGCCUGGGAAACUGGGUCUAAUACCGGAUAUGACUCCUCAUCGCAUGGUGGGGGGUGGAAAGCUUUAUUGUGGUUUUGGAUGGACUCGCGGCCUAUCAGCUUGUUGGUGAGGUAAUGGCUCACCAAGGCGACGACGGGUAGCCGGCCUGAGAGGGUGACCGGCCACACUGGGACUGAGACACGGCCCAGACUCCUACGGGAGGCAG